GGUUAAGCGACUAAGCGUACACGGUGGAUGCCCUGGCAGUCAGAGGCGAUGAAGGACGUGCUAAUCUGCGAUAAGCGUCGGUAAGGUGAUAUGAACCGUUAUAACCGGCGAUUUCCGAAUGGGGAAACCCAGUGUGUUUCGACACACUAUCAUUAACUGAAUCCAUAGGUUAAUGAGGCGAACCGGGGGAACUGAAACAUCUAAGUACCCCGAGGAAAAGAAAUCAACCGAGAUUCCCCCAGUAGCGGCGAGCGAACGGGGAGCAGCCCAGAGCCUGAAUCAGUGUGUGUGUUAGUGGAAGCGUCUGGAAAGGCGCGCGAUACAGGGUGACAGCCCCGUACACAAAAAUGCACAUGCUGUGAGCUCGAUGAGUAGGGCGGGACACGUGGUAUCCUGUCUGAAUAUGGGGGGACCAUCCUCCAAGGCUAAAUACUCCUGACUGACCGAUAGUGAACCAGUACCGUGAGGGAAAGGCGAAAAGAACCCCGGCGAGGGGAGUGAAAAAGAACCUGAAACCGUGUACGUACAAGCAGUGGGAGCACGCUUAGGCGUGUGACUGCGUACCUUUUGUAUAAUGGGUCAGCGACUUAUAUUCUGUAGCAAGGUUAACCGAAUAGGGGAGCCGAAGGGAAACCGAGUCUUAACUGGGCGUUAAGUUGCAGGGUAUAGACCCGAAACCCGGUGAUCUAGCCAUGGGCAGGUUGAAGGUUGGGUAACACUAACUGGAGGACCGAACCGACUAAUGUUGAAAAAUUAGCGGAUGACUUGUGGCUGGGGGUGAAAGGCCAAUCAAACCGGGAGAUAGCUGGUUCUCCCCGAAAGCUAUUUAGGUAGCGCCUCGUGAAUUCAUCUCUGGGGGUAGAGCACUGUUUCGGCAAGGGGGUCAUCCCGACUUACCAACCCGAUGCAAACUGCGAAUACCGGAGAAUGUUAUCACGGGAGACACACGGCGGGUGCUAACGUCCGUCGUGAAGAGGGAAACAACCCAGACCGCCAGCUAAGGUCCCAAAGUCAUGGUUAAGUGGGAAACGAUGUGGGAAGGCCCAGACAGCCAGGAUGUUGGCUUAGAAGCAGCCAUCAUUUAAAGAAAGCGUAAUAGCUCACUGGUCGAGUCGGCCUGCGCGGAAGAUGUAACGGGGCUAAACCAUGCACCGAAGCUGCGGCAGCGACGCUUAUGCGUUGUUGGGUAGGGGAGCGUUCUGUAAGCCUGCGAAGGUGUGCUGUGAGGCAUGCUGGAGGUAUCAGAAGUGCGAAUGCUGACAUAAGUAACGAUAAAGCGGGUGAAAAGCCCGCUCGCCGGAAGACCAAGGGUUCCUGUCCAACGUUAAUCGGGGCAGGGUGAGUCGACCCCUAAGGCGAGGCCGAAAGGCGUAGUCGAUGGGAAACAGGUUAAUAUUCCUGUACUUGGUGUUACUGCGAAGGGGGACGGAGAAGGCUAUGUUGGCCGGGCGACGGUUGUCCCGGUUUAAGCGUGUAGGCUGGUUUUCCAGGCAAAUCCGGAAAAUCAAGGCUGAGGCGUGAUGACGAGGCACUACGGUGCUGAAGCAACAAAUGCCCUGCUUCCAGGAAAAGCCUCUAAGCAUCAGGUAACAUCAAAUCGUACCCCAAACCGACACAGGUGGUCAGGUAGAGAAUACCAAGGCGCUUGAGAGAACUCGGGUGAAGGAACUAGGCAAAAUGGUGCCGUAACUUCGGGAGAAGGCACGCUGAUAUGUAGGUGAAGUCCCUUGCGGAUGGAGCUGAAAUCAGUCGAAGAUACCAGCUGGCUGCAACUGUUUAUUAAAAACACAGCACUGUGCAAACACGAAAGUGGACGUAUACGGUGUGACGCCUGCCCGGUGCCGGAAGGUUAAUUGAUGGGGUCAGCGCAAGCGAAGCUCUUGAUCGAAGCCCCGGUAAACGGCGGCCGUAACUAUAACGGUCCUAAGGUAGCGAAAUUCCUUGUCGGGUAAGUUCCGACCUGCACGAAUGGCGUAAUGAUGGCCAGGCUGUCUCCACCCGAGACUCAGUGAAAUUGAACUCGCUGUGAAGAUGCAGUGUACCCGCGGCAAGACGGAAAGACCCCGUGAACCUUUACUAUAGCUUGACACUGAACAUUGAGCCUUGAUGUGUAGGAUAGGUGGGAGGCUUUGAAGUGUGGACGCCAGUCUGCAUGGAGCCGACCUUGAAAUACCACCCUUUAAUGUUUGAUGUUCUAACGUUGACCCGUAAUCCGGGUUGCGGACAGUGUCUGGUGGGUAGUUUGACUGGGGCGGUCUCCUCCUAAAGAGUAACGGAGGAGCACGAAGGUUGGCUAAUCCUGGUCGGACAUCAGGAGGUUAGUGCAAUGGCAUAAGCCAGCUUGACUGCGAGCGUGACGGCGCGAGCAGGUGCGAAAGCAGGUCAUAGUGAUCCGGUGGUUCUGAAUGGAAGGGCCAUCGCUCAACGGAUAAAAGGUACUCCGGGGAUAACAGGCUGAUACCGCCCAAGAGUUCAUAUCGACGGCGGUGUUUGGCACCUCGAUGUCGGCUCAUCACAUCCUGGGGCUGAAGUAGGUCCCAAGGGUAUGGCUGUUCGCCAUUUAAAGUGGUACGCGAGCUGGGUUUAGAACGUCGUGAGACAGUUCGGUCCCUAUCUGCCGUGGGCGCUGGAGAACUGAGGGGGGCUGCUCCUAGUACGAGAGGACCGGAGUGGACGCAUCACUGGUGUUCGGGUUGUCAUGCCAAUGGCACUGCCCGGUAGCUAAAUGCGGAAGAGAUAAGUGCUGAAAGCAUCUAAGCACGAAACUUGCCCCGAGAUGAGUUCUCCCUGACUCCUUGAGAGUCCUGAAGGAACGUUGAAGACGACGACGUUGAUAGGCCGGGUGUGUAAGCGCAGCGAUGCGUUGAGCUAACCGGUACUAAUGAACCGUGAGGCUUAACCUU
rnacentral:rRNA from 1 species